rnacentral:rRNA from 1 species
GAUAAUCCACGACAACCUAACCUUCUUUAGAAUACACACCUGUGUACUGCCGUCGCAAGUAUACCUCUGAAAGAAAAAGUAUACAAAUAUAAUAAAUAUCUAACAACGUCAGGUCAAAGUGCAGCCAAUAAGAAGGUGAUGAUGGGUUACAACCAGAAAAAAGAUACGGACUAUAGUACCAAAAGCUAUAUGAAGGAGGACUUGGACGUAAUAUUGGUACAAAACCAAAAUGAAACCGAAUCUAAGACAUGCACACAUCGCCCGUCACUCUCACCUAAAGGCGAGAUAAGUCGUAACAAAGUAGGUGUAACGGAAGUUGUACCUGU